rnacentral:tRNA from 1 species
GGUGUGGUAGCUCAGUUGGUAGAGCAAUGGACUGAAAAUCCAUGUGUCGCCGGUUCGAUCCCGGCCCUCACCA